AUGAAACGUCUGGUCACAACGGCUAAGGGACGACGAAUCUUAGGAUACAUUUUGGCACUCCCUCUGUUGCCACAUGGGGACAUGAGCAGGGAGGUAAAGCAAAUAGAAAGAAUGAUCAGGAAACAUGGAUGUGGAAAAUUUGCUGAACUCCUUGCUUAUGCCAAAAAGCAAUGGAUUGAAGAAAGAAAGUCAGCCAAAGAAACAGCAAACAUAAUAGAAGAUGUUUUGAAAAACGUUCCGCAAGCAGGUAAAAUAUUGAAAUAUUAUUACUUUAUCACUUUAUGGAAUUAAGUAGUCCCUUUUGUAAACACCACUUCUUGAAUAAACGCAGUUUUGAAGUAUGGGAGCCUUAGUUGUGAGAUUUUUUUUUUUUUUUGUUUUAACCAAGCUUUAAAUAGGCCCAAUUAGCUAAUUCCACACUUACCACCAGCCCCGGGUGACCGUUGUCCGAGACGAUCAGACUGGGAUCACCUGGUCGGGAAUCGAACCUGGGAUCUCUUGGUUUUAGGGCCAACGCUACAACCACUAUAUCAACAGGAGAGGUGAGAGCAACCCAGUGUGGUAUAGAUGUUCUUCUAUCUCCCAUUUAAUUUGGUCCCUUAUAGGAGAUGUACCUACAAUCCUAUCAGGGGUAAUGUAGGAGGGUGUAAAAAUAAACGGGUUAACUUUUUGGUUGAGGCUUUCCAAAGAAAAGGAGUAGGGAGUCUAAGUGAAAACCUUCACAUGCCCUUAAGUUCUGGGCAGAUGGUAAAACAAAAAUCUGGAAGAAAUUUGUUUGACAGUGACAUAUCAGUGUGAACAGACGAACCAUAUUAGGGUUCCAUAUAACCAUACGAACCAUAUAACCAUAUAACCAUAUAUUAAUGUGUAUUUUUUAAGGAUGAACAUAUUUUAAUUUUGCCAUGAUUUGGUAUCAGAUAACAGCAGCAGUGAGACUUAAACACAGUUGUCCUACGCAGCACAACAGACUGCAUGUCGUGGAAAUGUUUAGGGGAGCAAUUAUAUUGUGUCAAAGUUGUUCCACUACCUUUUUGAACCCUUGAAGCUAACUAAAAGGAUGCUCCAAGUAGCAAAGUUGAAGAGAAUAUUAUGCCCUCCACAAACUUUCCGGUUCUUCUUGGCCCCACUCUAAAUACUGAAUGAAAAGUUCAGGUUUUUGAUUUCCAAUGCUGCCAUGGGAGCCUGAAAGUUUCGACUAAAAAUUACAUUAGUGUAAAUGCUGAAAAAUCUAGCCGUGCUGAAUUGACAUGUAAUCAGGGUAGAAAAUGUCUUUGCAGUGAAGCGACCCCCCAAAAUGCCAAACGAGCGCAAUGACAUCUGCAACGUCCAUUCCAAAAUCUGAUGACAUUUUCAACAUUUCUACGGACGCAUACGACUCUGACGACUCGACUGAAGUAGAGAAGUCUCUAUUCUUAUACGUUUCUCCCCUGUUUUUUCGCCCCCUUUUACGCACAAUUUGGACGGUCAGGGGUGAGGGGAGAUUCAACUUGUUGGGAGUGUGAUUUGAUGGUCACCUUUUAAACCCUCCCUUUGUAAAAAAGUUCUUUAUUCCACUUAGUUCGUUUGCAGUUAGUUCGGCAACCAAUUGGCAACGCUGUAUUGUUGUGAAGCGUUAUUAAAAAAGAUAUCGGCGACGUUUCUCAGCAAAGAAGCCUUACCUGAUCUAUUCUGUACAGAUGCAGUUUGUUUGGCAACAUGGGAUCAUUUAUUGCACAUUUUAUGUCAGUCGGCAACACCGCAUUGCACGGUGAUCUGAAAAACACACAGCCGUUGCUGAUGGAAUCGUUGCUUCCAGGACGUUAAAUUCACCUUGCUGGUAGCAUUUUUAAAGGCAAAACAAGAACUAAUUUUCGCAAUUAUAGAGAUCCCAUGGUGUGAACCUGCUGACCGGCGUACCAUUAGAAAUAACGUUUCUGGAGGGGCCAGCCCCCCCCUGCCAAUGUUCAUGCUUAGGUGAUUCGAUGAAUGCCAUAUUUUGUGUCAGAACGACGUGCGAUGUAUCGCAUCAAUCGGUUCCAUUUCUUCAGCUCCUCGUCAUUUUUCUCAAAUUUGGAGAACGUAAUUCUGAAGUCAGGAGACUAAAGCACUCACUUACCAAUUUUUACAAACAAAUUCAACAUAAUAAAGGCGUGAUUUUAUAGAGAGAAAACAUCGCAUUCGAUACUGACAUCAAAACUGCACACGAAUGCGAUAUUCUCUCUCUAAAAAAACCACGCCUUCAUUAUGUUGAAUUUCUUUGUUAGAAUUGGUAAGUGAGUGCUUAAAUCUCCUGAAAACAGAAUUGCGAUCUCAAAAUUUGAGAUAAAUGACAGGUAGCUGAAAAAAUGGAACCAAUUGAUGCGUUAUAUCGCAUGCCGUUCUGACACAAAAUAUGGCAUCCAUCAAAUCACCUUAAGUGACUAUCAUGGUAUCAUGAAUUCACCUGGAUUCACUAGACAGAACCAUGAAUAUUCCUGAAAACUACAUACCUAAUCAUCCUGAGCAAACUUCCAGAGAAAGCGUAAAAAGUAUGACUCAAUAAUAGCCGCUCACUCAACAUUAUUUUCCUUGCGCUACAAAGUAAUAUAAUUGAAAACUGCAUCGAAGAAUGCAAAGGGGCAAACAGGAUAGAUCUUCAGAAUGAAAUGUUGGCCUUCGAAUAAGACUGUGAAGUCCUGUCGUAAGUAUGCAAUUCUAAUCAAAUUUGGGUACGUACUCAGGUAACUACACACUUGAGGGAUGCUUUCUUACUUCAGCCGGCUUACAAAUUAAAAAGUAGCGUUUCCAAAAUGUGUAUUGGAAACUUGAGGGUACUGUAACACUGGAAACUUUAAACUAACACUUAGAGUAGAAGGGGAGGAAAGAAAGUCGGCUAAGAGACGGGAAAAACGAAGAACUGAGGAGGUCAUGAAAUGAAUUACCUAAGUACGUUACAACAUAAUGAACUAUUAUUUACACCUUUACAAGGACAGAAUUGAAAUCAAAAGUAAAUCUCAAACCUCGAUUCCAGAACCAAACCAACAUGGAACAGGCGAUGAGCAAGGUUCUCCAGCUAGGCAGUCAUGUUCGGAGCACGCCAUCACAGGAUCAAGACAUUGGAAAGGACUCGAACUCUCGGCGCGCGACAAUUAUAAGCACAUGAACCACUCGAGCUUCGACGAUUUUACGCACAUAACGAAGAAUUCACAACGAGAACAGCAGAAGAGAUGUUAACCGGGACUUCGAAUUCCGAUCGCACAACACUGAGUUAUGGAGGAAUUGGUUAUAGACCGAAUGACCGGACCGCGUGGUGAAGCGAGGAAAAUCAAAACCUUAUAACAUUACCCGGCGCGAUAGAAUCCAGGAAGAAACGCACUUCGAAGGUCCACUCAAGGGUGGAACAGCCGUGGGAUGAUACAAUUUUGCUUAAAACUCAGGAAAAGCUGAGAGGUUUCGGCAAAUAGGGGGCGGCAUGGCAUGCACGUUCAGCACGUUGCGACCUGUUGUCUUUGUCUCCUCAAAGCAACGCGUUUCCGGACGAUCCGAACUGUAAACGCAUGCAGCGCGCGCACGGACUGCGGGCAAGUCGGCGGGCGGAGAGGAGAAGAAUGAACUGCGAGGGAAAGGGGAAGGGGUAGACGCAGAGACAAAGACGGUACGCGCGC
rnacentral:lncRNA from 1 species